rnacentral:rRNA from 1 species
UACGGAGGGUGCAAGCGUUAUCCGGAUUUACUGGGUUUAAAGGGUGCGUAGGCGGGCUUUUAAGUCAGUGGUGAAAUCUCCGAGCUUAACUCGGAAAUUGCCAUUGAUACUAUUAGUCUUGAAUUAAGUUGAGGUGGGCGGAAUGUGUCAUGUAGCGGUGAAAUGCUUAGAUAUGACACAGAACACCGAUUGCGAAGGCAGCUCGCUAAACUUAUAUUGACGCUGAGGCACGAAAGCGUGGGGAUCAAACAGG